GUGUCAGCCGCCGCGGUAAUACGGAGGGGGCUAGCGUUGUUCGGAAUGACUGGGCGUAAAGCGCGCGUAGGCGGAUCGGAAAGUUGGGGGUGAAAUCCCGGGGCUCAACCUCGGAAUGGCCUUCAAAACUCCUGGUCUUGAGUUCGAGAGAGGUGAGUGGAAUUCCGAGUGUGGAGGUGAAAUUCGUAGAUAUUCGGAGGAACACCAGUGGCGAAGGCGGCUCACUGGCUCGACACUGACGCUGAGGUGCGAAAGCGGGGGGAGCAAACAGGAUUAGAUACCCUGGUAGUCCACGCCGUAAACGAUGAGUGCCAGACGUCGGGGGGCUUGCCCUUCGGUGUCACACCUAACGGAUUAAGCAUUCCGCCUGGGGAGUACGGUCGCAAGAUUAAAACUCAAAUGAAUUGGCGGGG
rnacentral:rRNA from 1 species